rnacentral:lncRNA from 1 species
UGGGUGUUUCCAAUUCGACCUUCAAACUUGUUCCAACGCCUCAAUUACCUCUUGGGCUUUGUUCUAGGUCCUAAAGGAAUGCUAAAGGUGUUAGUAAUUGAAAGAAAACAUUUCAAAAUUUGGAGAAUUUAAACAAAAGGGUCGCGGCACCCGUAGGGGUGUUCUUCGCGAAAUCACAACGAAAUUCAAUGAUUCUUGGGGUGAAACGUGAAGAGGGAAGGUCUAGAUGAUGAUUAGGAGUGGUACCUUGACUCAAUUCGUCGGAAAUUUGGACGGAAAUGGCGAAAACCCGCCGAUUGGAGGUUGCGGGUCGCGCGGACCCGUUUCUCCUGUUCCUCCGUGCACCACUCACCCUCCUUUCCCUCCUUUCCUUCCCCUGAUUGGUCAGCUUCUUCCUCUCCCUUCUUCUGGUUCGCUCUCAUCUUCUUCUUCUCCGAUUG